GAAGAACUAUAAUUAGAAAUAAUACCAAAUUUAAAACUGAAAAAUGAAGAUGUCUCUUAUAAGAAUAAAGGAUAUGAAAACUUGGAAUCUUCCAGAAAGUCCCCGCACACUUCCACCCCAGGAAGUGAUGCAGAAGUAAACCAUAUGAGUCAAGCUGAGGGAUUAUUCUCAUCCAGUCUGCAAACCCAAGUCUGAACCACGGCAAAUUCAAGCAGAGUAAAGCUAGUUGAAAGAGUUUUCAGAAGAACUAGGAGAAGAAAUGCCAGAAUCAAAACUUCAAGAGGAGAAAACUUUCAAUAAGAUUGAAGAAAAUCAAG